AGGUAAGCUACUAAGAGCGAAUGGUGGAUGCCUUGACUGGUAGAGGCGAUGAAGGACGUACUAGACUGCGAUAAGCUAGGUGGAGCUGUCAAGAAGCUUUGAUGCCUAGAUUUCCGAAUGGGGCAACCCAGUAUAUAGAGAUAUAUACUACCAUAAUGGAGCGAACGAGGGGAAUUGAAACAUCUUAGUACCCUCAGGAAAAGAAAUCAAACGAGAUUGCGUCAGUAGCGGCGAGCGAAAGCGUAAGAGGGCAAACCCAGUGCUUGCACUGGGGGUUGU
rnacentral:rRNA from 1 species